AAAACUUUCAACAACGGAUCUCUUGGUUCUCGCAUCGAUGAAGAACGCAGCGAAAUGCGAUAAGUAAUAUGAAUUGCAGAUUUUCGUGAAUCAUCGAAUCUUUGAACGCACAUUGCGCCCUUUGGUAUUCCAAAGGGCAUGCCUGUUUGAGCGUCAUUUCUCUCUCAAACCCUCGGGUUUGGUAUUGAGUGAUACUCUUAGUCGAACUAGGCGUUUGCUUGAAAAGUAUUGGCACGAGUGGUACUAAAUAGUACUGACAGAAUAUUUCAAUGUAUUAGGUUUAUCCAACUCGUUGAGACUUCUGGCGGUGAAUUUUUGGUAUAUUGGCUUUGCCUUACAAAACAACAAACAAGUUUGACCUCAAAUCAGGUAGGAUUACCCGCUGAACUUAAGCAUAUCAAUAAGCGGAGGAAAAGAAACCAACAGGGAUUGCCUUAGUAACGGCGAGUGAAGCGGCAAAAGCUCAAAUUUGAAAUCUGGCACCUUCGGUGUCCGAGUUGUAAUUUGAAGAAGGUAACUUUGGAGUCAGCUCUUGUCUAUGUUCCUUGGAACAGGACGUCACAGAGGGUGAGAAUCCCGUGCGAUGAGAUGUCUGAUUCUAUGUAAAGUGCUUUCGAAGAGUCGAGUUGUUUGGGAAUGCAGCUCUAAGUGGGUGGUAAAUUCCAUCUAAAGCUAAAUAUUGGCGAGAGACCGAUAGCGAACAAGUACAGUGAUGGAAAGAUGAAAAGAACUUUGAAAAGAGAGUGAAAAAGUACGUGAAAUUGUUGAAAGGGAAGGGUUUGAGAUCAGACUUGGUAUUUUGUAUGUCUUGCUUUCGGGUGGGGCCUCUACAGUUUACUGGGCCAGCAUCGGUUUGGACGGUAGGAUAAUGACAUUGGAAUGUGGCACCACUUCGGUGGUGUGUUAUAGACUUUGUUGAUACUGCCUGUCUAGACCGAGGACUGCGUCUUUGACUAGGAUGCUGGCAUAAUGAUCUUAAACCGCCCGUCUUGAAACACGGACCAAGGAGUCUAACGUCUAUGCGAGUGUUUGGGUGUAAAACCCGUACGCGUAAUGAAAGUGAACGUAGGUGAGAGCUCUUUUGAGUGCAUCAUCGACCGAUCCUGAUGUCUUCGGAUGGAUUUGAGUAAGAGCAUAGCUGUUGGGACCCGAAAGAUGGUGAACUAUGCCUGAAUAGGGUGAAGCCAGAGGAAACUCUGGUGGAGGCUCGUAGCGGUUCUGACGUGCAAAUCGAUCCGUCGAAUUUGGGUAUAGG
rnacentral:rRNA from 1 species